GAAAAGCACUCUGAAGAGAGAGUCAAAAGACCGUGAAACCGCUCAGAGUAUAAGCCAAUGGAGCUUGGAAGGCUUCCGCAGGUGAUGUCCAUCAUACGUGGUGUUCUUAAGACCUUGAGUGUGGCUCGUCAGGCGUAGCAUUGAGUUUGCCAGGUUUAGCUGUCGUGCGGGGGGUUCGGCUGGGAGGACUUCGGCUUCGGCCGGAGGGCUCUUCUGGUCGUCCCCUUUUGAAUGGACGUUCAGAACCUCUUGUGUCUAAUGCGGUUAUGCCCACCACAGCACGUUGUGAGGUCACCCACAGGCUCAACUGCCGAUCGCGCAUCCAGGACGAUGGCAACGAUGCGUUGUUGUUGAUGAUGGUGGCUCGAGAGAGACCACACACACACGCGUGUCUAGUCCUGGGUCGGGCGGCGACCGAGAUAAACCUGGUACGAUCCUCUAGCGACGAGCUGCUUUCUGGCCAGACCGACGCCCAGGCGCUUCCACUGUGCCGGAAGCGUCAACCCCAGGCGGUGUGAACCCAGCUGCAUUAUGCAAGGUCUCUCAGCCGGGCGUUGGUCUGAGUGGUGUUAAGUCCAGCACCAUCGGUCACGUCUCGAAACACGGGCCAAGGAGUAUAGCAUGUGUGCAAGUCUAAGGGUCUCACAAAACCCGAAGGCGAAGUGAAAGCAAGACUGUGGCGGGGGAGCUACGGCGAACCCGCCGGCCUAGUGUGACGCGUGCGUCGCCUGGCUUUAACAGAGCUGAUCCUGUUUUCUCGGUUAAUUCUUGGUGCAGGCGCAAGCUCCGGGCUCACGUACAACACUGGUCACACGCCUCGCGUGUGUGGCUGUGUUGUGAGCACCGUGGAGCAUGCAUGCUAUGACCCGAAAGAUAGUGAACUAUGCCUGGCGAGGGCGAAGCCCCAGGAAACUGGGGUGGAGGCCCGUAGCCGUUGUGACGUGCAAAUCCAUGGUAUCAGCUGGGCAUAGGGGCGAAAGACCAAUCGAACUAUCUAGUAGCU
rnacentral:rRNA from 1 species